rnacentral:rRNA from 1 species
UACGGGGGGGCAAGCGUUGUUCGGAAUUACUGGGCGUAAAGGGCUCGUAGGUGGCCAACUAAGUCAGACGUGAAAGCCCCCGGCUCAACCGGGGAACGGCGCGGGAAACUAGCAGGCUUGAGUUCGGGAGAGGGAAGCGGAAUUCCGGGUGUAGCGGUGAAAUGCGCAGAUAUCCGGAGGAACACCGGUGGCGAAGGCGGCUUCCUGGACCGACACUGACGCUGAGGCGCGAAAGCUAGGGGAGCAAACGGG